rnacentral:rRNA from 1 species
GAUAGUACCUUACUACUUGGAUAACCGUGGUAAUUCUAGAGCUAAUACAUGCUGAAAACCCCAACUUCGGGAGGGGUGUAUAUAUUAGAUAAAAAACCAACGCCCUUCGGGGCUUCUUGGUGAUUCAUGAUAUCUUUACGGAUCGCAUGGCCUUGCGCCGGCGACGGUUCAUUCAAAUUUCUGCCCUAUCAACUUUCGAUGGUAAGGUAUUGGCUUACCAUGGUUUCAACGGGUAACGGGGAAUUAGGGUUCGAUUCCGGAGAGGGAGCCUGAGAAACGGCUACCACAUCCAAGGAAGGCAGCAGGCGCGCAAAUUACCCAAUCCCGACACGGGGAGGUAGUGACAAUAAAUACUGAUACAGGGCUCUUUUGGGUCUUGUAAUUGGAAUGAGUACAAUUUAAACCUCUUAACGAGGAACAAUUGGAGGGCAAGUCUGGUGCCAGCAGCCGCGGUAAUUCCAGCUCCAAUAGCGUAUAUUAAAGUUGUUGCAGUUAAAAAGCUCGUAGUUGAACCUUGGGUCUGGCUGGCAGGUCCGCCUCACCGCGUGUACUUGUCCGGCCGGGCCUUCCUUCUGGAGAACCUCAUGCCCUUCACUGGGCGUGUUGGGGACCAGGACUUUUACUUUGAAAAAAUUAGAGUGUUCAAAGCAGGCCUUUGCUCGAAUACGUUAGCAUGGAAUAAUAGAAUAGGACGUGCGGUCCUAUUUUGUUGGUUUCUAGGACCGCCGUAAUGAUUAAUAGGGACAGUCGGGGGCAUCAGUAUUCAAUUGUCAGAGGUGAAAUUCUUGGAUUUAUUGAAGACUAACUACUGCGAAAGCAUUUGCCAAGGAUGUUUUCAUUAAUCAGUGAACGAAAGUUAGGGGAUCGAAGACGAUCAGAUACCGUCGUAGUCUUAACCGUAAACUAUGCCGACUAGGGAUCGGGCGAUGUUCUUUUUCUGACUCGCUC